rnacentral:lncRNA from 1 species
CCUGGCCUGCUGUGUCCUGCCCUGAAACCCACCUCAUCCUGAGAACACCUCACGACUGCCCACUCCCCCUCCCCUGGUCAGGCUCCCUGCUGCCUUGGAGGGCUUGGCAGAAAGGACACCUGCUUGGACCCAGAGAAAGCCGGCCUCAGACCAGCGGCCUGUCCCCUUGCUGUGGUGCGCGAGGGCCUCGAGCCCAUUGCAGUGCGGGGAGGUUUGGCCCACUCCAGAAGAGGCUUUCACUUCCUUGUAAAAGAGGAACUCAACAAAGGAGCAGGACCAGGGACAUCAGCCUCCACUCCUCUGCGUGGGGGGCGACCUUCAGUUGUGCCAUGGAGGAACAGAAGUGGGAGGAAGUUCAGCAGACACUUUCCUGAGUGCCGGCAGUGGGUGGGCCUCAGACCCCUACCUCCAGGCCCGCAGGUAGGUAACGCACCAGGCCUAGUGCUGAGUCUGUGCUGCCCGCCAGCCGCCGGCCACGUGUGAGCGCAGAGCCUCCCUGCCUCUCUGUCCUACAGACAAUGAGUCACUCACCCCUUCCUACAAAAACAUUGACUAGCAAAUUUGUUUUCCUGCUCUCCAAGAGGCUGUUUCACACCUUCUCUCUCUGCAAAGACCACCCACCACCACCACCACCCCGCCUCCCAGCCUGCCUUGAGGACUCUGCUGCUGAUGUCCCUGAGAGAGUGGAAGCAACCAGAUGAG